rnacentral:rRNA from 1 species
UACGUAGGGUGCGAGCGUUAAUCGGAAUUACUGGGCGUAAAGCGUGCGCAGGCGGUUUUGUAAGCCAGAUGUGAAAUCCCCGGGCUUAACCUGGGAAUGGCAUUUGGGACUGCAAGGCUCGAGUGCGGCAGAGGAGACUGGAAUUCCUGGUGUAGCAGUGAAAUGCGUAGAUAUCAGGAAGAACACCCGUGGCUAAGGCGGCUCUCUAGUACGGUACUGACGCUGAGACGCGAAAGCGUGGGGAGCGAACAGG